rnacentral:rRNA from 1 species
UACGUAGGGCGCAAGCGUUGUCCGGAAUUAUUGGGCGUAAAGAGCUCGUAGGCGGUCUGUCGCGUCUGCUGUGAAAACUCAGGGCUUAACCCUGAGCUUGCAGUGGGUACGGGCAGACUAGAGUGCGGUAGGGGAGACUGGAAUUCCUGGUGUAGCGGUGAAAUGCGCAGAUAUCAGGAGGAACACCGGUGGCGAAGGCGGAUCUCUGGGCCUUACCUGACGCUGGAGGCGCGAAAGCUAGGGGAGCGAACAGG